GUCUGUGAGUGACUGUCUGUGAUUGUGUGUGUGUCUGUGUGUGAGUGUAUGUGUGCCGGAGUGUCUGUGUGCCUGUGAGUGACUGAGUGUGUGCAUGAGUAUGUGUGUCUGUGAGUGCUUGUAUGAGUACUGCAUGUGAGUGUAUGAGUGUGGCAGUGUAUGUGUGUCUGUCAGUGUGUGUUUGUGAGUGUCUGUCAAAUCAGUGAGAAUAUCUUUGUCAUUGAGUCUGUGUGUGAGUAUCAGUGUGCCUGUCAAUGAAUGAGUGUGUGUCAGAUCAGUGAGUCUGUGUGUUUGUCAUUGAGUGUGUGUGACUGUCAGUGUGUAUACACCACUGAGUGUAGCGUGGUGGAACGCAGUACAGGAGCUUCUGUUUCCUGAGAGAGCACUCCCUGUCAGUCCGGCCAGGUACAGAAAAUUGAAGCUCCUGUAGGGGAUAUCCUCCACUCGGCAACGCUACAAGAGAGGUAGGAGGCACACCAGGAAGGGGAGUGCGACCACUAAGGGGGUGGAGGGUGCACCAAGGGACAGGGAGGGGAGGGGAGAGAAACACCAAGGGACAGGAAAAAGAGGGGAGAGCCUAGAAGAACACUAAGGGACAGGGAAGGGAGGGGACCACUAAUGGACGGGGAGAAGAUGUUAUUUGGGGGGGGCGGAAAGAUACAUCUUCGCCUAUGUACCCAAAAAUCCUUGCACCGGCCCUG